GAGUAAUCGCUAAAUCCAUGAAAGCUGAAUGUAGGAUUUGGUAUCUUUACCACUUUGUUAGAGAUCUGGAAAAAACCUUUCAGACAAAUCAAGAGGAUCUCUAAGUGAAAGUGCCUCAUUUGGACUGAUAACUCUUUAAACAACUGCAUCGGGAAGGUGGUGGCUUUUCAGCAUUUGUACUGCCUGAAGAAUCUGAAAUGAGUCAUAUUUUACAUUAUGAAGGCACAUACUAUCAGGAAUAUUUUUUUCAAGGAAACCUGGAAAGCUGAUAAAAUCCUAAACUUUUCACGGUGGAGUCAGUUUUAUCUUUUGUAUUUUAUGACCCACUUCUUAAAAACACAGAUGCAAAAACGCAAUUAGCUGGAGGUGGAAAGUUUGGUGGUGGGUGUUUCUUUCCUCCUAGGAGGCAGGCACAUCAGCGUGACACACUCUGGGCCAGGAUUCAGAAGAGGAGAUUGCAUCAUUUGUGUGUCUGAGAGCAAGAACGGCAACCUCUAUGGUGAUUUUGGGCAGCUAAAUCAGCAGCAAAUGAACACAGAGCACCUUUUGCUUGGGUAUCAGGCUUUGGAAAUAAAGCUUUCCAGCCACCGCUUGUUAAGGGCAUCUCCUGGUGCAUGACCUCUCCC